rnacentral:rRNA from 1 species
UGCGAGUCAUUGUAGUAAUACAAGGCAGANGGCUCAGUAACGCGNNNNNNNNNNNACCUAUGGACGGGAAUAACCUCGGGAAACUGAGNNUNNNGCCCGAUAGAACAUUAUGCCUGGAAUGGUUUAUGUUCCAAAUGAUUUAUCGCCGUAGGAUGGGACUGCGGCCUAUCAGUUUGUUGGUGAGGUAAUGGCCCACCAAGACUAUUACAGGUACGGGCUCUGAGAGGAGUAGCCCGGAGAUGGGUACUGAGACACGGACCCAGGCCCUAUGGGGCGCAGCAGGCGAGAAAACUUUGCAAUGUGCGAAAGCACGACAAGGUUAAUCCGAGUGGUUUCUGCUAAAGGAACCUUUUGACAGUCCUAGAAACACUGUUGAAUAAGGGGUGGGCAAGUUCUGGUGUCAGCCGCCGCGGUAAAACCAGCACCUCAAGUGGUCAGGAUGAUUAUUGGGCCUAAAGCAUCCGUAGCCGGCUCUGUAAGUUUUCGGUUAAAUCUGUACGCUCAACGUACAGGCUGCCGGGAAUACUGCAGAGCUAGGGAGUGGGAGAGGUAGACGGUACUCGGUAGGAAGGGGUAAAAUCCUUUGAUCUAUUGAUGACCACCUGUGGCGAAGGCGGUCUACCAGAANACGUCCGACGGNGAGGGAUGAAAGCUGGGGNAGCAAACCGGAUUAGAUACCCGGGUAGUCCCAGCUGUAAA